rnacentral:lncRNA from 10 species
UCACGAAAAUCGUAUGAAGGAGAUCACAAUAUUUCUAUUGAAUAUCUAAAUAAUCUAAGGCUUCUAGAGAUAAAAGAUGGAGCCUACUUUCUCAUAUCUUCAAUAUGGGCUGGCCUUGUGAUAUACUCAGCAUGUGAGAAUCCUAAGCCCAACCCUCAAGAGAUCUCAAAGCUUCCUUUCUUGUUGCUCUUGAACUCCUUUGUUCACUAUGUGAACAAACCAAAGCAAGCCUACUAAAGAUGAUAUGGAGACAGGACCCAACGAUGCCAGCCAUUACAUCAUAGACCAUCCUGCCCCAAAAAACCCACCAGAUGAUCACAGACGCUAGGAUCUAGCUGGUAUCAGCUAAGCCUGGCCCAAAUCUGAAGAACUGCCCUCCUCAUCUCCGUCCAGAUUGUUAACCCACAAAAUUCUAUGCUAAAUAAAUGGCUGUCA